UGCAGUCGAGCGGASUUGAUGAGAAGCUUGCUUCUCUGAURSUUAGCGGCGGACGGGUGAGUAACACGUAGGCAACCUGCCCUCAAGUUUGGGACAACUACCGGAAACGGUAGCUAAUACCGAAUAAUUGUUUUCUUCGCCUGAAGGAAACUGGAAAGACGGAGCAAUCUGUCACUUGGGGAUGGGCCUGCGGCGCAUUAGCUAGUUGGUGAGGUAACGGCUCACCAAGGCGACGAUGCGUAGCCGACCUGAGAGGGUGAUCGGCCACACUGGGACUGAGACACGGCCCAGACUCCUACGGGAGGCAGCAGUAGGGAAUCUUCCGCAAUGGGCGAAAGCCUGACGGAGCAAUGCCGCGUGAGUGAUGAAGGUUUUCGGAUCGUAAAGCUCUGUUGCCAGGGAAGAACGCUUGGGAGAGUAACUGCUCUCAAGGUGACGGUACCUGAGAAGAAAGCCCCGGCUAACUACGUGCCAGCAGCCGCGGUAAUACGUAGGGGGCAAGCGUUGUCCGGAAUUAUUGGGCGUAAAGCGCGCGCAGGCGGUCAUUUAAGUCUGGUGUUUAAUCCCGGGGCUCAACCCCGGAUCGCACUGGAAACUGGGUGACUUGAGUGCAGAAGAGGAGAGUGGAAUUCCACGUGUAGCGGUGAAAUGCGUAGAUAUGUGGAGGAACACCAGUGGCGAAAGGCGACUCUCUGGGCUGUAACUGACGCUGA
rnacentral:rRNA from 1 species